UUUUAAAUAGCCGCAAUUUUGUGCUAAGGUAGCAUAAUCAUUUGUUUUUUAAUUUAAAACUAGAAUGAAAGGUUAAACAAAUUAUUUCUUUAUUUUAUAAUUUUAUUAAAAUUAUACUAAACAUAAAAAUAUGUUUAUAAAAAAAAAAGACGACAAGACCCUAUUGAACUUUACUUUUGUUUAGCUGGGGCAGCUAAAUAAAUAAUAUUUUAUUUUUUUUUAAAUAAUAAAUGACCCAAUAAAAUUGAUCACUUAACCAAGUUACCAUAGGGAUAACAGCGCAAUAAAUUUUUAAAGUUCUUAUUAAAAAAUUUGUUUACGACCUCGAUGUUGAAUUAGAAUCCUUCUAUAAGAAAAAAUAUAAAAAGUAGGUC
rnacentral:rRNA from 1 species